AACGCAUAUUGCGCUCGAGGCUUCGGCCGAGAGCAUGUCUGCCUCAGCGUCGGGUUAAUAUCAUCCCACUAUCACUAUAUGUGAUAGCUUAGGAUGGACCUGGCCAUUCCAGAGCUGUACUCUCGUAUAGACCUGGAUUGGCUGAAGAGCAGAGACGACUCGGGACCCGUUAAGGGCCGCAAUUGGGUAGGCGCUGCCUCUCCUUAACCAGAGAGCUUUGUCAAUGCUUAAUUGCUGGCUUGGGCACUGCGGCCGUCCACACUCAGGAAUAUUAUCCAAUACUAUUACCUCGACCUGAGCUCAGGCAAGAACACCCGCUGAACUUAA
rnacentral:misc_RNA from 1 species